UGGAACACACCUUGACUUACAUACUUCCUUCAACAAAAUUCAGUUUGGCUCUAAAGUACAUAUUUCACUCCACUUUUUCUGAUAUAUAAUAUUAUAUUUAUUACAAUUGAACAAGAUCGAUUUGUAAUUUCUCUGCUCGCUUUUACUCACCAGUCUAAAAUAAUAUAUAUUAUUCAGGGGUGUUGUGGAAUCUGAUAGUUGUCGGAAUCAGAAUUGAAACCGAUCAAAAAAAGCAGUAGGUGUCAUGAAUUCAGAUAUUAUUGGUUUGAUAUUCGAAACAGAAUUUGUAUCGGUUUUGGGUGUCACGGAAACCAAAUUUAUCGGUUUUGCUGUCAGAAACAAAUCAAGAAGAUAGUCGCACACAGAUUUGAAAUGGGAAAACAUAAGCAUAAAACACAGAAUGUCUCAAUUAUUGAAUUUUUGAAAAAAAAUGCAGAUAUUUAAGUGGGGAGCCUGCAUUAGAGGCUUGAAAUCGAUUUUUUGGGGCAUUUGUCGGACGACGGGCAGUAUGCAGAACACAAUUUCUAUUGGAAAAAAAUUCAAAAAGAUUACUUUUUGUUAAUAACUUA